GUUAAGCUUGGGGAAUGUAUUCCAGUCCCCACAUUGGUUCUUCCCACACUUCUGCCACUUCAGAGUGUGCUAUUGAAAGUUAAAGUGGAAGAUUGAUUCCUCCUGGUGUUUUCUGCCAGCAGCUAAGAUUAUAAUAUGGAACUGGUGUGGAGGACCCAGAGGAAACUUCUCUACGAUCCACAGCAUCUUAUCAAGGCCCUCCUUGCUCUUAUAACCUUAUGUGGAUUCUCUUGGCUCUGUGGUAUCUUGACCUCCUCAAAUCUAGCCAGUUUCUGUUUUUUGUUUUGUUUUUUUUUGGUCAGGACUCCAAGGGCUCCAGCAUCACCCAGCUUGACUUCUGCUCACUCUCAGGCACCAACAUCAAGCCUGGUUUGGAGAUUCUCUUGUGUCUGCAGCUGGGAGAACAAGAAGAACAGCCCAUGUAUUUUCUUCUCCAGCAUCACUGUUUCUGUCAUGGUGUCAAUAAGUUAUUCUACCUCAUGCAGAAGUACAAUGCUCCUUCAUUAAGUGAGAUUAGAUUGAAGACUGGCAAGAGCAGAUGCAAGGAAAGGCUUGAUGAUACUCCCACCACUGAUCUGCUUUAAUCAAAAGACAUCCUCAUGCACUUACUUCCCGCCACUGAGGACUGAGUCUACACCAAAGGAACACCUCUAGAUGAACCAUCUGCUGCCAGGUAAAUGAGUUGGAUGACUUCUCAGUAACCAUCCCAAUUUUGUAAUAUUCU
rnacentral:lncRNA from 1 species